CCUACGGGCGGCAGCAGUGGGGAAUAUUGGACAAUGGGGGGAACCCUGAUCCAGCGACGCCGCGUGAGUGAAGAAGUAUUUCGGUAUGUAAAGCUCUAUCAGCAGGGAAGAAAGAAAUGACGGUACCUGACUAAGAAGCCCCGGCUAACUACGUGCCAGCAGCCGCGGUAAUACGUAGGGGGCAAGCGUUAUCCGGAUUUACUGGGUGUAAAGGGAGCGUAGACGGCGAUGCAAGUCUGAAGUGAAAGGCGGGGGCCCAACCCCUGGACUGCUUUGGAAACUGUAUGGCUGGAGUGCAGGAGAGGUAAGUGGAAUUCCUAGUGUAGCGGUGAAAUGCAUAGAUAUUAGGAGGAACACCAGUGGCGAAGGCGGCUUACUGGACUGUAACUGACGUUGAGGCUCGAAAGCGUGGGGAGCAAACAGGAUUAGAUACCCGUGUAGUC
rnacentral:rRNA from 1 species